UACGUAGGGUGCAAGCGUUGUCCGGAAUUAUUGGGCGUAAAGAGCUCGUAGGUGGCCUGUCGCGUCGGCUGUGAAAACUCGGGGCUCAACUCCGAGCUUGCAGUCGAUACGGGCAGGCUAGAGUUCGGCAGGGGAGACGUGGAAUUCCCGGUGUAGCGGUGAAAUGCGCAGAUAUCGGGAAGAACACCCGUGGCGAAGGCGGCUCUCUAGUACGGUACUGACGCUGAGACGC
rnacentral:rRNA from 1 species